ensembl:lncRNA MAILR macrophage interferon regulatory lncRNA
AGAGGAAGCGGUCCUGGCAGAAACUUCACAUUGAAGCAACUCUGGGAAAUUUUUCAUGACGCUGAAAACACAAAGGAUAAAAUGUUGGGAGCUGAUCCAGUCUUAGAAAGGAGAACAAUUCAUCACGUCAGAGAAAAGAUGCUCUCUCCAUGUCGUAAGUUACACAAGAAGUAUUCACGAUAGACAAGAUAUGGAAUCAAUCUGUAACCAUCAACAAAUGAAUAAAGACGCUGUGAUGUAUACACAAAAUGGAAUACUCUACAGCAGUCCAUUGUGAAAGAGAAGGAAUUCCUGUCAUUUAUCACAACAUGGGUGAAUCUAUAGGACACGAAAAAAGGCUGGGCGUGGUGGAUCACUUCUGUAAUCCUAGCACUUUGGGAGGCUGAGAAGCUCUGAGGAGUGAAUCCACAAUACAGUUCAAAGAGAGAUUUAAAUUGCUAAUUUCCCGGCACUGGAAUGUGGGGAAAGAUUGUCACAGAUUUAGCAUGAAAGCCAUGUAUUUAACAUUCCUAUGUAAUAACCCUCUCUUAAAUUGCAUUUUGGUUUGAGAAACAGCAAGAACA